rnacentral:rRNA from 1 species
UAGGGAAUCUUCGGCAAUGGACGGAAGUCUGACCGAGCAACGCCGCGUGAGUGAAGAAGGUUUUCGGAUCGUAAAGCUCUGUUGUAAGAGAAGAACGAGUGUGAGAGUGGAAAGUUCACACUGUGACGGUAUCUUACCAGAAAGGGACGGCCAGCUACGUGCCAGCAGCCGCGGUAAUACGUAGGUCCCGAGCGUUGUCCGGAUUUAUUGGGCGUAAAGCGAGCGCAGGCGGUUAGAUAAGUCUGAAGUUAAAGGCUGUGGCUUAACCAUAGUAGGCUUUGGAAACUGUUUAACUUGAGUGCAAGAGGGGAGAGUGGAAUUCCAUGUGUAGCGGUGAAAUGCGUAGAUAUAUGGAGGAACACCGGUGGCGAAAGCGGCUCUCUGGCUUGUAACUGACGCUGAGGCUCGAAAGCGUGGGGAGCAAACAGGAUUAGAUACCCUGGUAGUCCACGCUGUAAACGAUGAGUGCUAGGUGUUAGACCCUUUCCGGGGUUUAGUGCCGUAGCUAACGCAUUAAGCACUCCGCCUGGGGAGUACGACCGCAAGGUUG